UGCAGCCAUGCCGCGUGUGUGAAGAAGGCCUUCGGGUUGUAAAGCACUUUCAGUCAGGAGGAAAGGGUGUGAGUUAAUACCUCAUAUCUGUGACGUUACUGACAGAAGAAGCACCGGCUAACUCCGUGCCAGCAGCCGCGGUAAUACGGAGGGUGCGAGCGUUAAUCGGAAUUACUGGGCGUAAAGCGUACGCAGGCGGUUUGUUAAGCGAGAUGUGAAAGCCCCGGGCUCAACCUGGGAACUGCAUUUCGAACUGGCAAACUAGAGUGUGAUAGAGGGUGGUAGAAUUUCAGGUGUAGCGGUGAAAUGCGUAGAGAUCUGAAGGAAUACCGAUGGCGAAGGCAGCCACCUGGGUCAACACUGACGCUCAUGUACGAAAGCGUGGGGAGCAAACAGGAUUAGAUACCCUGGUAGUCCA
rnacentral:rRNA from 1 species